UACGUAGGGGGCAAGCGUUGUCCGGAUUUAUUGGGCGUAAAGAGCGUGUAGGCGGCUAGGUAGGUCCGUUGUGAAAACUCGAGGCUCAACCUCGAGACGUCGAUGGAAACCAUCUGGCCAGAGUCCGGAAGAGGAGAGUGGAAUUCCUGGUGUAGCGGUGAAAUGCGCAGAUAUCAGGAAGAACACCCGUGGCGAAGGCGGCUCUCUGGUACGUGACUGACGCUGAGACGCGAAAGCGUGGGGAGCGAACAGG
rnacentral:rRNA from 1 species